rnacentral:rRNA from 1 species
UACGGAGGGAGCUAGCGUUGUUCGGAAUUACUGGGCGUAAAGCGCGCGUAGGCGGCUUACCAAGUCAGGCGUGAAAUUCCCGGGCUCAACCUGGGGGCUGCGCUUGAUACUGGUGAGCUUGAAUGCGGGAGAGGAUAGUGGAAUUCCCAGUGUAGAGGUGAAAUUCGUAGAUAUUGGGAAGAACACCGGUGGCGAAGGCGGCUAUCUGGCCCGUAAUUGACGCUGAGGCGCGAAAGCGUGGGGAGCAA